ACUGUACCUUAGGUCCUGAGGUCUUUCUCUAGUGUGAGUGUGUCCUGAGUCUCCAGGAAAUGAAUCAAAUUGGGAAAGAGCUGCCGUCCAUCUACAAUAGUUGGAAACUUUGUGGCUCCAAUAAAAGAUUAAUGAAGCUCAGAUGUUGUACAUGUGUUCCACACGGAACAACAGGAUGACCCAGCCCUCAGAGAUUCCAGUUCGUCUGAAUCUGCAUGUCUUUGGCCUGUGGACGGAGGACAAAGCAUUCUGGAGAGAAUCUACUCCACACAGAAAGGCCAACCCAACUGAGAACUAAAUGGCAGUUCAGCAAUUCUAUUUUAUUUUUUCUGUUUCUUCUGCUUGAAAAAAAAAUGUAUCAGCAUCCAUCAAACUAAUGACUUGUUUGAAUCUAUUUCCUUCCCAUUGCCUAAUUAAUGCUCACAUGAAAUGUUUCACAGUCUAUUGGUCACUCAGCUUUUGUGGGUGAAUGAUCAUCUCCGACCCCGUUCACUUGCGUGGAGGAACGGGAGAGAGACAGAAAAAGUGUGUGUGUAUUAAAAAGGAGAAAAAAUUGAGUGGAAAAAUCAUGACUCAGGCGUAAAAAGGAAGCAGAGAAGAAACUAAAGAUAUGCUGGAUGAGAGUGAUGAGCAAUGAUGGAAGGAAUUUCAUCAGAAGCUAAAGCUUCAGCUUUUAUUAUACAGAAUUGUCAGUCAGCACUUUGUUACUCACAUUGGGAUGAGUUCCAGAACUUAAGGGUGGUAUACAUACCAGGUAUAGGACACAUACAGUUUAUCUCUGCCAGGCUCUUCGUCACCUAGGUUUCCUUGAAGAUGCUGAUGAUGAUUGGUUUCCACCUGAGCUGGUGGAGGGAGGAGAGCUGAUUGGUUCCUGGUUGUUUGUGCGGCCACUCAAUCUCCAGGAGUUGAUUAUAUAAGGAAGUUUGAUUUCCUGCAGCAUGCAGGCUGCUUGAACUCUGCAUGAUGCUGCUUCUCAGGUUUGUGGUGGGAGAAAGGACGUGGGGGUACCUUCUACAUCCACACCUCAUAGCACAAAAGAUGUUAGUUAAGUGGUGGUUGCCACACUGUAUGCUUUUUGGAGGACACUUUGUCCUUUGUCUUUUGUCUUGAUCAGUGGAUAGUGAGGGUUUGGUUUGUGUUUUGUUUUCUUUGGCUUCUCACCUUAGUCCUGUCCUCCCCCACAGAGGUGCUCUUUUCGGUUGUUUACAAA